GACGAACGCUGGCGGCGUGCUUAACACAUGCAAGUCGAACGGUGAAGCGCCUUCCUUUUUGGUGGGUGUGGAUGAGUGGCGAACGGGUGAGUAACACGUGAGUAACCUGCCCCCUUCUUCUGGAUAACCGCAUGAAAGUGUGGCUAAUACGGGAUAUUCUGGGUCUGUCGCAUGAUGGGUCUGGGAAAGAUAUUGUUUCGGUGGGGGAUGGGCUCGCGGCCUAUCAGCUUGUUGGUGGGGUGAUGGCCUACCAAGGCGGUGACGGGUAGCCGGCCUGAGAGGGUGGACGGUCACACUGGGACGGAGACACGGACCAGACUCCUACGGGAGGCAGCAGUGGGGAAUAUUGCACAAUGGGCGCAAGGCUGAUGCAGCGACGCCGCGUGAGGGAUGGAGGCCUUCGGGUUGUGAACCUCUUUCGCCAGUGAAGCAGGCCUGCCUCGUUUGUGGGUGGGUUGACGGUAGCUGGAUAAGAAGCGCCGGCUAACUACGUG
rnacentral:rRNA from 1 species